rnacentral:tRNA from 1 species
GGAAGAGUGGCAGAGUGGCCGAAUGCGUCUGUCUUGAAAACAGAAGACCCGCAAGGGUCCGGGGGUUCGAAUCCCUCCUCUUCCG